AAAGCCUGAUGGAGCACGCCGCGUGUGUGAUGAAGGGUUUCGGCUCGUAAAACACUGUUGUAAGAGAAGAAUGACAUUGAGAGUAACUGUUCAAUGUGUGACGGUAUCUUACCAGAAAGGAACGGCUAAAUACGUGCCAGCAGCCGCGGUAAUA
rnacentral:rRNA from 1 species